UACAGAGGUGGCAAGCGUUGUUCGGAAUUACUGGGCGUAAAGGGCGAGUAGGUGGCCAUCUAAGUCAGACGUGAAAUCCCUCGGCUUAACCGGGGAACUGCGUCUGAUACUGGAUGGCUUGAGUUUGGAAGAGGGACGCGGAAUUCCAGGUGUAGCGGUGAAAUGCGUAGAUAUCUGGAGGAACACCGGUGGCGAAGGCGGCGUCCUGGACCAACACUGACACUGAUGAGCGAAAGCCAGGGGAGCAAACGGGAGUUAGAAACCCUG
rnacentral:rRNA from 1 species